CCUACGGGAGGCUGCAGUGGGGAAUAUUGCACAAUGGGGGAAACCCUGAUGCAGCGACGCCGCGUGAGUGAAGAAGUAUUUCAGUAUGUAAAGCCCUAUCAGCAGGGAAGAAAAUGACGGUACCUGAUCAAGAAGCCCCGGCUAACUACGUGCCAGCAGCCGCGGUAAUACGUAGGGGGCAAGCGUUAUCCGGAUUUACUGGGUGUAAAGGGAGCGUAGACGGCAGCACAAGUCAGGAGUGAAAUGCCGGGGCUUAACCCCGGGACUGCGUUUGAAACUGGGCAGCUAGAGUGCAGGAGAGGUAGGUGGAAUUCCUAGUGUAGCGGUGAAAUGCGUAGAUAUUAGGAGGAACACCAGUGGCGAAGGCGGCUUACUGGACUGUAACUGACGUUGAGGCUCGAAAGCGUGGGGAGCAAACAGGAUUAGAUACCCCAGUAGUC
rnacentral:rRNA from 1 species